UCUUCUAUUUAGAAAUUACAACAACUCAGUAAAUCAAUAAGAAUCAUCCCUUUGAGACAUCCAAACCAUGAAUCAUCACAGAUAGUUGUAAUCUGCAUAGUCAUGUUCGCCCUCUUCCCUUUACAUGAGUGUGGGAGGAUGGAUGUUGGAGAGAUAGAGAAACUAAGUCUCAAUCAAGGUCAACCAGACUGUAGACAAGAAAGACAUAACAACUUGGAUUGUUAGUGCUGCCAUGAGAAGGGAAAAGAAACGAUUCAAUGUUGGGUACUAAUAUUAAUUCCGGACGCUAAACGAUACAAUGCUUACUCUCUUGUCCACCCCAGAACUAAAACCUUAUAAUAAUCGAAUAAGAAUGUAUCAUGCUUAUUUCAUUUCAGACUCUCCAAAACAUUACUAUAUUGCUUAAUCUCAAAUCAUAUGAUUCUUGCUGA